UGGGGAAUAUUGGGCAAUGGGGGGAACCCUGACCCAGCAACGCCGCGUGAAGGAAGAAGGCUUUCGGGUUGUAAACUUCUGUCCUGUGAGACGAAGGAAGUGACGGUAUCACAGGAGGAAGCCCCGGCUAACUACGUGCCAGCAGCCGCGGUAAUACGUAGGGGGCGAGCGUUGUCCGGAAUGAUUGGGCGUAAAGGGCGCGUAGGCGGCCGUAUAAGUCUGGAGUGAAAGUCCCGCUUUCAAGGUGGGAAUUGCUUUGGAUACUGUAAGGCUUGAGUGCAGGAGAGGUAAGCGGAAUUCCCGGUGUAGCGGUGAAAUGCGUAGAGAUCGGGAGGAACACCAGUGGCGAAGGCGGCUUACUGGACUGUAACUGACGCUGAGGCGCGAAAGCGUGGGGAGCAAACAGG
rnacentral:rRNA from 1 species